GUCUUCAAGAAAAGAAUUUGGGAAGGAUAAACUUUGUGAAAAAGGAGUAGACAUAUUAGAAAAGGGACCAAGUUUUGAACUAAGUUCAGAAAUGGAAAGUUUAGAAGUGGGGUCCAGUGACCAAAGUCUGGAAGUCCAACCACCUGUAAGGGAAAGCAAAGGUGACAUAAAAGUGACAUAUUAUUUGAGAGAUAUUAAACCUAAGAUGGUGAAUGCUUGGACAACGUUGUUUAAAAAUCAUGAAAACAGGGUCAAG
rnacentral:lncRNA from 1 species